GUACGGAGGGUGCAAGCGUUAUUCGGAAUCACUGGGCGUAAAGGACGCGUAGGCGGGUUGGCAAGUCAGAUGUGAAAUCCUACAGCUUAACUGUAGAACUGCAUUUGAAACUGCUAACCUAGAGUAUGGGAGGGGGAGAUGGAAUUAGUGGUGUAGGGGUAAAAUCCGUAGAUAUCACCAGGAAUACCGAAAGCGAAGGCGAUCUCCUGGAACAUAACUGACGCUAAGGCGUGAAAGCGUGGGGAGCAAACAGGAUUAGAUACCCUUGUAGUCC
rnacentral:rRNA from 1 species